rnacentral:rRNA from 1 species
GUGGGGAAUAUUCCGCAAUGGACGAAAGUCUGACGGAGCAACGCCGCGUGAGUGAAGAAGGUUUUCGGAUCGUAAAGCUCUUUCGUUAGGGACGAACGUGCUCUUUGUGAAUAAUGAGGAGUAAUGACGGUACCUAAAUAAGAAGCCACGGCUAACUACGUGCCAGCAGCCGCGGUAAUACGUAGGUGGCAAGCGUUGUCCGGAAUUAUUGGGCGUAAAGCGCGCGCAGGCGGGAUAUCAAGUCUGUCUUAAAAGUGCGAGGCUCAACCUCGUGAGGGGACAGAAACUGGUAUUCUUGAGUGUCGGAGAGGAAAGUGGAAUUCCAAGUGUAGCGGUGAAAUGCGUAGAGAUUUGGAAGAACACCAGUGGCGAAGGCGACUUUCUGGACGAUGUCUGACGCUGAGGCGCGAAAGCUAGGGGAGCGAACGGGAUUAGAUACCCGUGUAGUCC